AUUAAUUAUAUUGGACCUUCAUUGAUAUAAAAAUUAGGGCUAAUUUCAUACAAGUUUCUGCAAAUAUAAUAAAUUACAAAUAUACUUCUACAAAGUUUUUUUUUUUUUAUGUUGUCCGCGCAAAAGUCCUGAUAUUUUUAAAUAUGUCCCUGACGUUAAGAUCCGUUAGAAAAAAAUUAGUUAACUAUAGAUAAAAUUCUUAAUCCUAGUUAGUUAAUAAGGUGAAUUGAUAUUUUUACCCCUCUUCAAUUAACAAUUGAAAAUCUUAGAGGGAUAUAUUUAUAAUGGCAAAAAGAUUAUUUUACUUAUAAAAUAAACAAUACUUUAACGGAAACAAACUAGAAAAAUAUAUUUGAAAAUAUUAGGACUUUUCUAGGAACAAUAUAUGAAAGUUGAACUUUAUAGAGAUAUAUUUGUAAUUCACUAUAUUUAUACAGAUCUGUAUGAAAUUAACUCUAAAAAUCAUUAACUUUCUUAAUAAAAGCUAUAAUUUUUAUGGCCUUAGUUUCACUAAACAAUCAACAUAUGAACAUCAUGAUGAAAAUAAUAUUAUCGAGGUGGCAAAAUGCUUGGUGGUUGGUACUCGAGACCCAAGUUCGAAUCCCCGAAUCCUAGUUGAUUCACAUUUCCAGCUAAGUUUAUUUCUAAAUGAAAUAAACGAAACGGGUAGCGUGGUACCUAUCUCACAUUAUAAGUUUUUAUAAAAACACCAUUAUAUAUGAUUAAUUUGUCUACAUUUACAAGAGUUGAACUGGAAUACUAUCAGUAGCAAACGGGCUCCGUUACCAUCCAUUUGUUUUCAAUGAUGGAGCCUCCAAAUCGACGAUCGAUAUCGUUGAAAAUGAUCUAUACCACUUGAAAUAUCUAGAAAUCAAAUUUCAUACUUUUUCGAUAUUAUUCUCUUGUUCAUCAAGUGGGCGUAAAAAUGAAUGACUGAAAAUGAAUAUUCUCUAAAAAGUGAUGAUAGAAAUUUUGUAAUCAAGAUCGAGAGUAUAGAUCUUGUUCUAAAUAGUUUGAAGAAUUUUCUAACCAAAAUUCAAUUGAUUUGGAUAGCUUUACACCGUUAAACAAGAAAAUGCCUCAUAUCGACUCUUAAAAUUACAAAUUUUGAAACUCUUUGAUCAUUAGGUCAAUGAUAUCGAAAAUAUUUGAAAUUUGAUUUCUACAUACUUCAAGUGAUAUAGAUCAUGUUUAACGAUACCGAUCGUCGAUUUGAAGGCUCCAUCAUCGAAAACAAAUGGAUGACAACAGAGCCCAUUUGCUACCGAUAACAUUUUAACUCAAUUCACAUUUACAAUACAGAGAAUUUUUAUUGUUUCAUAUAUGUAAG
rnacentral:lncRNA from 1 species